AGCUCAGCUGGGAAGACCUGCUCACCUGGAACAGCUGUUGGACUCACCUGUUCAGGUGGUGUCAGGAUGGUGGGACAGCCGAGCCACUGUGCUGGUACUUUGGAGAUCCAACACCAGGGACAGUGGAGACCAGUACAAGACUAUGAUGGAGACUGGGACCUUAAGUCUGGAUCUGCUGUGUGUCAGUAUCUGGACUGUGGAUCAGCUGUUUCAGUCAACAGAACAGAUGAUUCUGCAGACAGACGUGUGUGGUUGGUCUCAGUUCCUUGUGUAAAGCUGACAUCUGGACUGAGGGACUGUGUUGGACUAUAUGAUUCUUAUACAGACUCAUCUGGUGUGGAGGUGGUGUGUUCAGAUCUGCUGCCUCAGCCCAACAUCUCCCUGUCUGACGGGGUCUUUGGGGUCUACCAGC